CGUCCGGUUUUAUAUCUCCUUCGUCUUUUUGUCUAGUUUUCUCGAAACCCGCUAAAUUUUACGUAACAGUACCAUAACGGCUCUUCAAUUCAAGUUUAUGCGCCAGUGACUUACAAAUCUCUCACAAAAUUGGUCGGGACACCAAUUUCUGUAUAAAUAGCAACAUUUAAGAUUAUCCCAUUUCCGCCUCUUUUUUUCUUCAUAUUUCAAAAAAUUUCGAUUUCAAAUUUUUUCCUUAGAGAAUCCCAAUACUGUGAUAAUAAGUAACUGAAAACACCAUUUCAGAUGUGCAUUUGCAGAAGCACUUAGUUAAUUGGUACCUAUUUUCGCACCUCAAGCACUUCCUUCACUCUUCGUAAUAUGUGUUCAUCAUUUUAAAGGAAAAUUCCUCUUUAAUAAAGGCAAGAACAUUCCUUCAAGAAAAAUCUGGAAAUGGGUUCUUGAUGCCGUGUCCCCUUAACAUGAAAAAGUGAGUAUACAAAGGUGUACUCACUUUUUAAAAAAAAAAAAAAAAAAAAAAAAAAAAAAAAAAAAAAAAAACAAGUUCAUUUAAAAAAUGAGGAUUCGAACAAAAUUAUACUCAAAUUAUACUCGUGUAAUUUCACCAAUAUUUGUCUUUUGAAUCACCAAACGAGUUCAUUGCGAAAAUUUGGUCCCUCGGGCCGGAUCCCGGUCCGAACGCGUUGAUGAAGCGCCGCGUUGCCAAACUUUCGCCGCAGCGGAACACAAAUUCCUUUCCUCGUGUCGUAAUAAUUGUUUCUCGGUCAGUUCAUCUCAAGGCGAUUCCGAUUCGACCGCUAAGCGAGAGAAAAAAAUGUUGCAUACUCGUCGCGACGCGCCAGGAAAUCUUCGACCGGUCGUCGUCGCUCUUGCCAGAUUGGCGUCCAUGCUAUUCUUCUGCAGAUGCGAAAAAAGGCCUGUGCCUCAGGAAGCGACGAAGGAACUCUGAAAAUAUGUCCGUAAUCCAUCCCUUGUAAUCAUAAAAAAUACCCCCCCCCCCGCUGUGAAGCUCCCCUAAAGAAAUUUUAGAGUAAUAGUUUCUUAUUUUACAUUCACGACAGCAGAGACUUGAAUAGGAACUAGCGCUAACGUCAAAAUCGUCAGUCAUAAAGUUUAACACAUGUAUAAACUACCAGACAAGAUCUACCGCGGAUAGAUUGUUGCUAACUGCACGUUGGAUAAUUGGUGGCCUACCUCCCAAAUUGAAGGCGAAAUAGGAAUUUGCGAAACUUCGUCAAUUAUACUUCUGAAGAAACGCAGUGAAAAGAUCAUGUUAGAUUACUACUUUUUACGCGAUGAAUCAGUAAAUUUAGUAUAGAUUUCGGAGGCUGUUGUAGAGAGUAAUGAGAAUUCACGCUACUGGGUAUUUAACUUUUCCUCAAAUCAAAAAGUACGCUAUAACAAUGAUAUUGUACGAUUUUUUUUAUGCAUUCAGACAAAUAUCUUUUCUUAAACUGAGAGUGACAGGAAUCCGCU
rnacentral:lncRNA from 1 species